ACUUAAUUAAUUUAAUAAAAAUGUUGAUUUGUGGGAUCCAUUAAAAAUAAUAUUAUAUUAUAUAUUAAGUU
rnacentral:tRNA from 1 species